rnacentral:SRP_RNA from 14 species
CCCGUCCACGCCAGUGACGACCAGAGGCUCACUCCGGUCGCCCGCGAAGGAGAAGCCGUCACAGUAUAUCAGGAAUACGCGGUUGAAGUUGCAGAAGUCCGGGUUCACGGAGCAGUCGUCGCUCAUGAUGCCCCCGCCAGCCGCGGCUUCCGACCAGUGGGCGGAUGACCCGAGGUUUGUGCUGCUGCGGCCC